rnacentral:rRNA from 1 species
UACAGAGGGUGCGAGCGUUGUCCGGAAUCACUGGGCGUAAAGGGCGCGUAGGCGGCUUGAUAAGGUUGCGGUGAAAGCCCGGGGCUCAACCCCGGGUCGGCCGUGGCAACUGUCGAGCUGGAGCACUGUAGAGGCAGGUGGAAUUCUGGGUGUAGCGGUGGAAUGCGUAGAGAUCCGGAAGAACACCGGUGGCGAAGGCGGCCUGCUGGGCAGUGGCUGACGCUGAGGCGCGACAGCGGUGGGGAGCGAACAGG